UACGAAGGGGGCUAGCGUUGCUCGGAAUCACUGGGCGUAAAGCGUGCGCAGGCGGUUUUGUAAGUCUGUCGUGAAAUCCCCGGGCUCAACCUGGGAAUUGCGAUGGAGACUGCAAGGCUAGAAUCUGGCAGAGGGGGGUAGAAUUCCACGUGUAGCAGUGAAAUGCGUAGAGAUGUGGAGGAACACCGAUGGCGAAGGCAGCCCCCUGGGUCAAGAUUGACGCUCAUGCACGAAAGCGUGGGGAGCAAACGGG
rnacentral:rRNA from 1 species